ACUUGAUGUGUCUUCUGCUAAUGAGUAUGUUAGAGCUGAUGACGUCGAAGUAAUGCUUCAUGAGGCUUAUGAACGUCCUGCAGUUGAAGGUGUAAUUCUCUGGGUGUUUUGGAGUUGUAUAUGUCCAGGAAAUAUGCUCAACUAUUGAACGCAGAUGAUAAAAUCAAUGUGGCUGGUAAUAGAUUCCUUGCUUUUAAGAAAGAGUGGCAGUCUCAUGCUAGUGGAUGUAUUAAUCAGCAAGGAGAGUUCAAAUUUUCAUGGGACUUGCAACUUCGAAAUGAUUUCCUCUUCAAAGAUAGUUAUCAAGACAUUUAUUGUUGACCAGGGUGAGUUGCCACUCGUUUCCAUCGUAUUAUAGACAUUUAGGCAUUUGUUACUAGCAGAGUUCACAUACUGCUAGUGCUCAUUAACAUUAUGAAUCACCAAUUGGCUGCUAUUUUCGUUGUGCAAUUAUAGAAAGAGAAUGGAGGUCAUGCCUUUCUUGGUUGCAGUUUCUCAUAGCAUUUUCUUUAAGAUUGAUGGUUCUCCAUUAUUACAUCCAGCCAUACAAUAGCUGAGAUGAUCUUAUCAAAUGGGCAGAAUUCCUAGACAGUACCAAGGGUGUUUCUUGUAUCUUUUGCCCAAAAUCAAUUUUUCCUUGGAAAAGAGAUCCGUAAUUUGGAAUUAGGCUGGGAUUCUUUGGCUUGCCUAAUCCUGAAGAAUCUACUAAAACUGUGACAAACUUAUUAGGUGAAGUGAAAAAAAUGGUAGAAUUUGCUUGAACAAAGAGUACGGGCCACCAUCUCUUUGGUGCGAACUCGCAGUCUAUGCUUAGUAAUUACCAGCAUGUACUCAGAAAUGGAUGAUGAUGUGUAAUUCUUAUUCCAAUUCUGCAGCUGAUCAACUUCUUGUAGAACAGUUACCCAAUAUAUACAUGAAACUGUUAAGCCUGUAAAUUUGAAGGAUGGUAUUUCAAUCAGGCAAGUCAAAUAUCGAAAGCCCAUCGUCACCUAACGUUACAUAAAAACCAAAAAGACAUUUGCCUUGUAAUCAAAGACUUCAUCCAAGAAAAUAAGAAAAAGAAAUGAUGUUCAAAUCAAUAAUGGAGCAUAUCCAAUUCCAAACCUCUAAACCUUCUAUUCCAAUUCAAGCAUUCAAGGAUAAUAGGUUUACCCCAGUCUGCAAGACAAAGCAAUUGUAGUACAAGAGAAGUCUCAAUUCUGAAGAGCCUUAGCCUUGCAGAGAAAGAUAGGUUUGAUAAACCCCGACAAAAGACAACCUGGGAGAGGGACAAAAAGCUCCGUGGGUUUUUCCCUAAGGAAUUUGAUUGACUGUUUGGUGGAGUUGGCGCCGCGCUUUUCGUAGACUACACUUGAAAAUCUCGAAAACGAUGCGUAUAAAAUGAGGAGGUUCUCUGCAUGGUGCUUCAGCAAUCGAGCAUCCAAGACAAGUCGCAGGCAAAAACAUCCCGAGAUACCCACUGCAACCAUGGAGAAUCCACAGUUGAAUAACGGCAACAAGAAGUCAGAGAUUGUAAAUGAAGGCAUGACUGGUGCAAGUAGCAUCAGUGCCACCAAUAUCAUAAUGAACCAUGACUUCUCUGGAGGACUGCAUUCUUGGCAUCCAAAUUGCUGCAAUGGCUUUGUGGUUUCGGCAGAGUCAGGUCACCCAGGAUUUGUGACAAAGCCAGUUUGUAAUUAUGCAGUUGUCUCAAAUCGAAAAGAAUGCUGGCAGGGUUUGGAGCAAGAUAUCACAAGCAGGGUUUCUCCAGGUUCCACAUAUUCAGUUUCUGCAUGUAUUGGGGUAUCAGGACCUAUGCAGGGACCAGCUGAUGUACUUGCGACUUUGAAACUGAAAUACCGAGAUUCACCAAUUGACUAUUUGUUCAUUGGAAAGUAAUGGAUUUGUUGCUUCAUUUUUUUGUGUUUCUUCUUUAAAUGAAACAUACAAAUUCUGUUAACAGAGUUACAUCUGCAGAACUUCUGUGUCAAAGGAGGGGUGGGAAAAGUUGGAAGGCACAUUCACCCUGUCGACCAUGCCCGAACAAGUUGUUUUUUACUUGGAAGGGCCUUCUCCUGGAGUGGACUUACUUAUAGAAUCAGUUGUUGUUACAUGCUCCAGUCCAAGCAACUUCAGUGUAAUUUUUCAUCUUAAACCUAUUUUGCUUCUUAGUCAAACUUUAGACAAAGAGAUUUGUUCUUUUUCCUGAACACAGAAUUUUUUUUUUUUU
rnacentral:misc_RNA from 1 species